GAUGAACGCUGACAGAAUGCUUAACACAUGCAAGUCUACUUGAAUUUGGGUUUUUUAACUUAGAUUUGGGUGGCGGACGGGUGAGUAACGCGUAAAGAACUUGCCUCACAGCUAGGGACAACAUUUGGAAACGAAUGCUAAUACCUGAUAUUAUGGUUAUAAGGCAUCUUAGAAUUAUGAAAGCUAUAUGCGCUGUGAGAGAGCUUUGCGUCCCAUUAGCUAGUUGGAGAGGUAACGGCUCACCAAGGCGUUGAUGGGUAGCCGGCCUGAGAGGGUGAACGGCCACAAGGGGACUGAGACACGGCCCUUACUCCUACGGGAGGCAGCAGUGGGGAAUAUUGGACAAUGGACCAAGAGUCUGAUCCAGCAAUUCUGUGUGCACGAUGACGUUUUUCGGAAUGUAAAGUGCUUUCAGUUGGGAAGAAAAAAAUGACGGUACCAACAGAAGAAGUGACGGCUAAAUACGUG
rnacentral:rRNA from 1 species